rnacentral:rRNA from 1 species
ACGGGGUGCAGCAGGCGCGAAACCUCCGCAAUGUGAGAAAUCGCGACGGGCGGGAUCCCAAGUGCCAUUCUUAACGGGAUGGCUUUUCAUUAGUGUAAAGAGUUCUUGGAAUAAGGGCUGGGCAAGACGGUGCCAGCCGCCGCGGUAAU